GACGAACGCUGGCGGCGUGCUUAACACAUGCAAGUCGAACGGAAAGGCCCUGCUUUUGUGGGGUGCUCGAGUGGCGAACGGGUGAGUAACACGUGAGUAACCUGCCCUUGACUUUGGGAUAACUUCAGGAAACUGGGGCUAAUACCGGAUAGGAGCUCCCGCUGCAUGGUGGGGGUUGGAAAGUUUCGGCGGUUGGGGAUGGACUCGCGGCUUAUCAGCUUGUUGGUGGGGUAGUGGCUUACCCAGGCUGUGACGGGUAGCCGGCAUGGGAGGGUGACCGGCCACAUUGGGACUGCGAUACGGCCCAGACUCCUACGGGAGGCAGCAGUGGGGAAUAUUGCACAAUGGGCGGAAGCCUGAUGCAGCAACGCCGCGUGCGGGAUGACGGCCUUCGGGUUGUAAACCGCUUUCGCCUGUGACGAAGCGUGAGUGACGGUAAUGGGUAAAGAAGCACCGGCUAACUACGUG
rnacentral:rRNA from 1 species